UUCUGUUCUUUAGUUGAAAAAUGAGUAAUUGAUGAUCUUUAGGAUGUUUUUACCACUUCCCUCUUCCACUGUGCUUUUCAAGAUUUCUUUUUUAUUUUUUAUUUUUUUUAUAGAUUGUAGUUUCUUCAGUGUACGAUGUGCUAGUUGCUGAACUUUUUUAGGAAAGUAAUUGUUGAUGGAGGUGGGGAUGGGUCUCCUUUCACUGAUUCAGGAGGUGGAUCCUUUUAUCUUGCUUUCUGAUUGCUAAUAUGCCUUUGGUUUCUUGGUAAAUUUUUACUGGCUGAUUUGUUUUGAUUCUUAUUGAGUCCAGUGUCAUUUUGUGAAUCUCUUGACUUCACUAAAGAUUGGAAGGAAAUGUUGAAGGUUAUUUAACUGAUCUGAUACCCCAGUGGGAAUCAUUAGGAGCUUCAAGUAAUAACCUGUUGUCUUGCUGAGAACUAUGCUCAAUUUGAUUAAAAAAUUAAGGAUUUAUAUGUUUUUUCUGAUGGCUGAUUCCUUCCCGUAACCACAAGGCCUUGCUUUUUUUAUCCAUUUAAUGGAAAUUAUAAUGUCGUGUUCGUAAACGACAGAUAUCCGACUCUGCGAAACCAUUGGGUGAGGAUCCAAACCAGAUUGAGAGGGGUGGACUGGAGAAUUAAGCAAGCCUGGGUGUGCAAUUUCAAUGCCUCAUGUCGAAUUAUACCUAAACUACUUGGGAUGGGGAACAUACUUUAUGAUAUGCUAAGAAGUAUCUCCAUGACAACGAGGAUGUUGAAGUGGGCUUGUAAGUACGUAUGGUAUGAGCAUAGCUAUUACUAUAUUUGGCAAUUUGAUCCCCUUUCGGAUAUGAAUUGUUAAAAUUUGUGCUAGAGUUGGCAAUUACGCUUGUCUUGUAUAAAACAUGCAACGUCAAAUCCUUAUCG